rnacentral:rRNA from 1 species
GAUGAACGCUGGCGGCGUGCCUAAUACAUGCAAGUCGAGCGAACGGACGAGAAGCUUGCUCCUCUGCUGUUAGCGGCGGACGGGUGAGUAACACGUGGAUAACCUACCUAUAAGACUGGGAUAAUAUCGGGAAACCGUAGCUAAUACCGGAUAAUAUUUUGAACCGCAUGGUUCAAAAGUUAAAGACGGUCUUGCUGUCACUUAUAGAUGGAUCCGCGCUGCAUUAGCUAGUUGGUAAGGUAACGGCUUACCAAGGCGACGAUGCAUAGCCGACCUGAGAGGAUGAUCGGCCACACUGGAACUGAGACACGGUCCAGACUCCUACGGGAGGCAGCAGUAGGGAAUCUUCGGCAAUGGGCGAAAGCCUGAUGAAGCAACGCCGCGUGAGUGAUGAAGGUCUUCGGGUCGUAAAACUCUGUUAUUAGGAAAGAACAUAAGUGUAAGUAACUAUGGACGUCUUGACGGUACCUAAACAGAAAGCCACGGCUAACUACGUG